rnacentral:rRNA from 1 species
GACGAACGCUGGCGGCGUGCCUAAUACAUGCAAGUAGAACGCACAGUUUAUACCGUAGCUUGCUACACCAUAAACUGUGAGUUGCGAACGGGUGAGUAACGCGUAGGUAACCUGCCUGGUAGCGGGGGAUAACUAUUGGAAACGAUAGCUAAUACCGCAUAAUAUUGAUUAUUGCAUGAUAAUUGAUUGAAAGAUGCUAUUGCAUCACUACCAGAUGGACCUGCGUUGUAUUAGCUAGUAGGUGAGGUAACGGCUCACCUAGGCGACGAUACAUAGCCGACCUGGGAGGGUGAUCGGCCACACUGGGACUGAGACACGGCCCAGACUCCUACGGGAGGCAGCAGUAGGGAAUCUUCGGCAAUGGACGGAAGUCUGACCGAGCAACGCCGCGUGAGUGAAGAAGGUUUUCGGAUCGUAAAGCUCUGUUGUAAGGGAAGAACGGGUGUGAGAGUGGAAAGUUCACACUGUGACGGUAUCUUACCAGAAAGGGACGGCUAACUACGUG